AGAAGGAAAAACGAGACCCCUUAAAAUUAUAUAACCCCCCUAGAAAGACUUAUUUCUUCAAAUCCAUGGGGGUGGCGUGCCUUCGGCGAGCACCAGGGUGAUGCGACAGCCUUUUCCUCGCUGCUGCUGCUGCUGCUGUUCAUUUACUUUUUGGGCUCCCAUGAAAGCGGGCUGCUGGCUUGGCCCCUGCGGCCAGGGGCUCGCCACGCUGCCGCGGCCGGGUGCCACAGCACUAGCUGGGUCCUCGGUGCUGCCAAGCCUUUUGCCUUUUUUUUUUUUCUUUCUGCAAGAGAAAAAAACAAAUCUUUUUUUUUUUUUGCCUGUAACGUCGAAGGCCACUUGAGCCCGGCGCGGGCGGUUGUGUGAGCAGCGUGUUGGUUAAUGUUAGCGGCUGAUUACUAAACUUCUCGUUUCGAACCGCAAAAACCUAGCAUGUCAGCCUAAAUUAGCUAACAGCAAGGGAGUGUCCUUCUCGGUUUGCAGGCCACAGCACAUCUGCUCUUUGAAGAAAGAGAAUGAGCAAAAUAGGGUUGGGUGGUUGGUGGUGGGGUUUUUUGUUUUUUUUUCUUGCCUCCCCUCAGCCUCCCAUUUGUGCAUGUGUUCAUAAAUAUCCUGAUGAGAGGCUGCCUCUGCGGUUGGUGUGUGGGAAGGGGGGAAGGAGGGUGGAUAAAGAGCAAUUCUCCGCCCGCGUGGGGGACACCCUUCCUCCCCUCCCCGCCACCUCCUCUUCCUCCCCCUCCCCUCGCCGUUUGACCUUGAGUUCGUUCUCUGCUCUGCUCCCGCUCCCCUCCUCCCCCUGCCCGCCUGCAUCUGGCAUCCGAGGCAGGCUGGUGCAGCUGGGGGGCCGAAAAUCCCCCUCCCCAUGCCCCUUAAGCCCUGCUGCUCUGGGCAGGGUGUACCGGGGGUGCUCCCUGGCCGCCCCCAGCACAGCCCCCGGGUCCCGGGGGGCUGAGUGCCCGGAGCAGCCCCCUUGGCUCCCCAGCAUGGGUGUCCCACGCCGCAGCGCUGCCGCUCAACUACCCUAAUCCGGUUGUCUUUUCCAGCAGCGUAUUGGGGAACAAUGGGCGGCCUUGUGCUGGCCCAGGCUGCCCGUCCCCGUCCUUGCAGCUGGCGCGUCCACCCGUGCUAAGCUCCAGUGAGCAGGAUCAGCUGAAACCCUCAUUCCCCUUCACCCUCUUCAAGGGCUCGCCUAUCCGCUGGGGCCGCUAUCGGUUACACGAAACAUUUGGUUCGCAAUGGGCUGUUUGUGCUGGGAGGCAGAGGGCUCUUCCAGCAGCGGGCAGUGAUCGCCGGCAGAAAAAGCUUGCCCUGUGUUAGUUUACAACAGUUUCACCCACACAGAAAAGUACAAUGGAGACAGAUCAUGCACAAUGACAGGCUGCCGGCGGCUCCAAGGGAUCCAUAAUUUAUGAUGUUUUUCUUACCGAUCCGGUUUUGGAUUUCACAAGCAGGCCCGUUUCCUUCCCAUUUGUUGCUUCCUUCCGUCCUCGUUUCGAGAAAUGGAACACCGGGCUCAGAACGAGCGAGAGCGGUAGCGGCCGCCCGGCUCUCCCGGGUGGCUGUGUUUGCAUGGGGCGGGGGGGGGUGGUGGUUCCCCAGCCUCAGCUUGCCACCCUGAAUUUAUUACAGAGAAAGGAGAAUGCCCUGACACACACCUCAUGGUAUCUCAGCUUCCUGAUGAGCGGCGGCAGCGGUGGCAGCCCACACGCUGCUGCCCUGAACCACAUUCAGGUUCACCGGGUCUCCCGGUAAAAGCCGGGCUACCAGGACUCCCAGCAAUUGGCUGAUUAAAGCCGCCGCUCCCUUGCCAGAAAUAGAUGCGCCAGGGCAAGAUGCGGGCAGUCAGAUGCCACCUCCGCAGCGAGCGUGGGUGCCAUCAGUCACGUCCAGGCACGGAAGUGUGAAGCUACGUGGGUUUGUCUGGUGGGCCAAGCCUGAACCGUGCAUCUGGGGAACCCCCCCAAUUUCAGAUCUGGAGCCAGAUUUUUGGCUGAAGCCCAUCCCCGCCGCGAGCCACUGGUCCUGCCUGCUCUGUGGCCACACUUCCAACCUCCUCGUGCCCAUCUGGGAAGCCACCCGCACAGAGACGGGGAAAGGACCAGCACCGAGGUCCCAUCGACCCCUUCCCAUCCACAGGCUGGUCAGUGAGGGGUGCGGGGCUGCGUGCCCCUGGCCCCACACCAUGGCCGCCUGCCCUGCUGCAGAUGGCUGGGUUGUCCGGGUGGUUUGCAAAUGACCAAGUAAGGUUAAAACCAUAGUCACUGUGGUUACCAGCGGCUGUGAUUAGUCACACAGUAAGUGAUCCAAUUAUAGCAACCCCUCCCCCGCAACACCCCCCACUUCAUCUGUUUAAAAGGAAAAACCCAGGCCUCCCUUAACUCGAUUUCAGCGCGGGUUUAUGUGCGAAAAAAAAGCAGCCUGAAGUUGGAAAGGGAGAAGUGGGGAGGCAGGGUGGCACCAGCGAAGUUUUGCUUUCGAAACCUGCCGUGGCUCACAGUGAUGGGAAGCCCUGCUUGCCCCCCGCGCUGGUGCCUUCAGAGGAGCAUUGGCUGAAGGGAGGCAGCUUUCGGGGAGCUGGCGGCCCUGCAGCUGCAGGGGAGGGGGUUGUGGGGGUGGCAGAGGGUAUGAACUACUGCGGUGGUGUCCACCGCACGGCCUCGGUGGAUCAGACCAUCUCCUGCCACCAUGGUUUACUGACCCCGAGGCUGCUCUCCUGCUGCUUCCCACCUGGACCGCUGUGCAGCUCAGUUUCCUUUUCUUCCCCCUUUUUUU